rnacentral:tRNA from 1 species
GGGGCUGUAGCUCAGUUGGUAGAGCAGUGGCUUUGCAAGUCACGUGUCAGGAGUUCAAGUCUCCUCAGCUCCACCA